rnacentral:lncRNA from 1 species
AAAAAAAAAGAAUCUAAUAUUUUAAGAUUUGAAUAUGUAUAUUCUAUAGCUUUAAUUUUCUAAGUCUACUAUAAUUGUCGUUUUACCUAUUCUAUAAAUUCUUUUCAAAAUAAAACUAUAUAGGAAAAUUCAAACAUAGGGAAAGACUAAGCGCAUGAGCUUCACUUGUUAGGGUCACACAAUUAAUUGUAAUCCAAACCACUAAAACACCAAAACAUACUACAAUGCUUCCUUCCAGUAACAAUACUCCUUCAUCAACUGAUAACAACAUUGUGCAACCUCGCACUCUUAAAAGACUGGUCAAAACUCAUAAAUUCCCAUCUAACACCAAGAAAACAGACUUCAUUCCAACCAAUCUGGAUUCACAAAAUUUUUGUAAUCACAGACUUCCUCUGUCUAAAACACACACAAUUCUCGAUAAACAACAAUCAUAAUCUUUCAAUCAUAAUCAAUCUUCCAAUAACUUCUCAUAAAAUUCAAUCACAUAAUAUUCCAAUUACAUAAUCAAUAAUUCAUAAAUCAAUCUUUGAUUUAUUCCACAGACUCACUUCUCAGUAUUCAAAAACUAUCCAUUACUCUUCAACAACAAAAACAACAAAGAAAACAAAGAGGUAGCACCAAGCUUAAUCCCGGCUCAUGACUAUCAUAGUCUGGCCCCCCAACAAACUUCUACAACUCCUAUAUAAAUGCUACUGAUUUCUAGAUCCUAAUCGUAAUCCUAUAAUAAACCACUUUUAAUAACUAAAUCAACCAUCCGUCCUCCUGAACUCAUUAUUCUAUGGUCUAUUAAUCUAUUUUACCAAUAUCUUAGAAAAAUGAACUAAUAUCUAUUCUACAUAGCCCCACUCCUAUCUUUGCAGCAUCCUCGCAAAUAUACAAUUGAUUCCUAUCUAAAAACUACUUAACAAAACUCUACAAAGUUACUAG